UACGGGGGGGGUAAGCGUUGUUCGGAAUUACUGGGCGUAAAGGGCUUGUAGGCGGCCAACUAAGUCGGACGUGAAAUCCCUCAGCUUAACUGGGGAACUGCAUCCGAUACUGGAUGGCUUGAAUCCGGGAGAGGGAUGCAGAAUUCCAGGUGUAGCGGUGAAAUGCGUAGAUAUCUGGAGGAAUACCGGUGGCGAAGGCGGCAUCCUGGACCGGCAUUGACGCUGAGGAGCGAAAGCUAGGGGAGCGAACAGG
rnacentral:rRNA from 1 species